rnacentral:rRNA from 1 species
GACGAACGCUGGCGGCGUGCUUAACACAUGCAAGUCGAACGGGUCUGCCUUGUUUUUUGCGGGGUGGGUCAGUGGCGAACGGGUGAGUAACACGUGAGUAACCUGCCCCUCACUUCUGGAUAACCGCUUGAAAGGGUGGCUAAUACGGGGUGUUCUGGCUGUGCCGCAUGGUGUGGCUGGGAAAGAUUCACUUUUGUGGUGUUUUGGUGGGGGAUGGGCUCGCGGCCUAUCAGCUUGUUGGUGGGGUGAUGGCCUGCCAAGGCUUUGACGGGUAGCCGGCCUGAGAGGGUGGGCGGUCACACUGGGACUGGGAUACGGCCCAGACUCCUGCGGGAGGCAGCAGUGGGGGGUAUUGCACAAUGGGCGGAAGCCUGAUGCAGCGACGUCGCGUGAGGGAUGGAGGCCUUCGGGUUGUGAACCUCUUUCGCCGGUGAAGAAGGUCCUGUUCUUUGUGGUGGGGCUGACGUAGCCGG